UACGUAGGGUCCGAGCGUUGUCCGGAAUUACUGGGCGUAAAGAGCUCGUAGGUGGUUUGUCGCGUUGUUCGUGAAAACUCACAGCUCAACUGUGGGCGUGCGGGCGAUACGGGCAGACUUGAGUACUGCAGGGGAGACUGGAAUUCCUGGUGUAGCGGUGGAAUGCGCAGAUAUCAGGAGGAACACCGGUGGCGAAGGCGGUUCUCUGGGCAUUACCUGACGCUGAGGAGCGAAAGCGUGGGGAGCAAACAGG
rnacentral:rRNA from 1 species